rnacentral:rRNA from 1 species
UACGUAGGUCCCGAGCGUUGUCCGGAUUUAUUGGGCGUAAAGCGAGCGCAGGUGGUUUAUUAAGUCUGGUGUAAAAGGCAGUGGCUCAACCAUUGUAUGCAUUGGAAACUGAUAGACUUGAGUGCAGGAGGGGAGAGUGGAAUUCCAUGUGUAGCGGUGAAAUGCGUAGAUAUAUGGAGGAACACCGGUGGCGAAAGCGGCUCUCUGGCCUGUAACUGACACUGAGGCUCGAAAGCGUAGGGAGCAAACAGG